UUGAUUUUGGUCGCCAACGAGUGGCGGACGGGUGAGUAACACGUAGGUAACCUGCCCAGAAGCGGGGGACAACAUUUGGAAACAGAUGCUAAUACCGCAUAACAGCGUUGUUCGCAUGAACAACGCUUAAAAGAUGGCUUCUCGCUAUCACUUCUGGAUGGACCUGCGGUGCAUUAGCUUGUUGGUGGGGUAACGGCCUACCAAGGCGAUGAUGCAUAGCCGAGUUGAGAGACUGAUCGGCCACAAUGGGACUGAGACACGGCCCAUACUCCUACGGGAGGCAGCAGUAGGGAAUCUUCCACAAUGGGCGCAAGCCUGAUGGAGCAACACCGCGUGAGUGAAGAAGGGUUUCGGCUCGUAAAGCUCUGUUGUUAAAGAAGAACACGUAUGAGAGUAACUGUUCAUACGUUGACGGUAUUUAACCAGAAAGUCACGGCUAACUACGUGCCAGCAGCCGCGGUAAUACGUAGGUGGCAAGCGUUAUCCGGAUUUAUUGGGCGUAAAGAGAGUGCAGGCGGUUUUCUAAGUCUGAUGUGAAAGCCUUCGGCUUAACCGGAGAAGUGCAUCGGAAACUGGAUAACUUGAGUGCAGAAGAGGGUAGUGGAACUCCAUGUGUAGCGGUGGAAUGCGUAGAUAUAUGGAAGAACACCAGUGGCGAAGGCGGCUACCUGGUCUGCAACUGACGCUGAGACUCGAAAGCAUGGGUAGCGAACAGGAUUAGAUACCCUGGUAGUCCAUGCCGUAAACGAUGAGUGCUAGGUGUUGGAGGGUUUCCGCCCUUCAGUGCCGGAGCUAACGCAUUAAGCACUCCGCCUGGGGAGUACGACCGCAAGGUUGAAACUCAAAGGAAUUGACGGGGGCCCGCACAAGCGGUGGAGCAUGUGGUUUAAUUCGAAGCUACGCGAAGAACCUUACCAGGUCUUGACAUCUUGCGCCAACCCUAGAGAUAGGGCGUUUCCUUCGGGAACGCAAUGACAGGUGGUGCAUGGUCGUCGUCAGCUCGUGUCGUGAGAUGUUGGGUUAAGUCCCGCAACGAGCGCAACCCUUGUUACUAGUUGCCAGCAUUAAGUUGGGCACUCUAGUGAGACUGCCGGUGACAAACCGGAGGAAGGUGGGGACGACGUCAGAUCAUCAUGCCCCUUAUGACCUGGGCUACACACGUGCUACAAUGGACGGUACAACGAGUCGCGAACUCGCGAGGGCAAGCAAAUCUCUUAAAACCGUUCUCAGUUCGGACUGCAGGCUGCAACUCGCCUGCACGAAGUCGGAAUCGCUAGUAAUCGCGGAUCAGCAUGCCGCGGUGAAUACGUUCCCGGGCCUUGUACACACCGCCCGUCACACCAUGAGAGUUUGU
rnacentral:rRNA from 2 species